rnacentral:rRNA from 1 species
UACAGAGGGUGCAAGCGUUGUUCGGAAUUAUUGGGCGUAAAGCGCGUGUAGGCGGGAUGGUGUGUCGGGUGUGAAAGCCCCCGGCUCAACUGGGGAGGGUCAUUCGAUACUGUUCGACUCGAAGGCAGGAGAGGGAAGUGGAAUUCCGGGUGUAGUGGUGAAAUGCGUAGAUAUCCGGAGGAACACCAGUGGCGAAGGCGACUUUCUGGCCUGUUCUUGACGCUGAGGCGCGAAAGCUAGGGGAGCAAACGGG